UACGAACUGUGCGAACGUUAUUCGGAAUCACUGGGCUUAAAGGGUGCGUAGGCGGUUAUCUAAGUCACGUGUGAAAUCUUCCGGCUCAACCGGAAAACUGCGCGUGAUACUGGAUGACUUGAGUGAGGUAGGGGUGUGUGGAACUUCCGGUGGAGCGGUGAAAUGUGUAGAGAUCGGAAGGAACGCCAGCAGCGAAAGCGGCACACUGGGCCUUUUCUGACGCUGAGGCACGAAAGCUAGGGGAGUGAACGGGAUUAGAUACCCCGGUAAUCCUAGCCGUAAACACUGAACACUGGAGGAAGGGGGUUUCGGCCUUCUUUCUCGUAGCGAAAGCGUUAAGUGUUCCGCCUGGGGAGUAUGGUCGCAAGGCUGAA
rnacentral:rRNA from 1 species